UGAAUCUCACGGUUUGCAUGGUAGAGAUGACUUUUCCUGAUAUAUCUGGUAGUCUGAACAAAUUUCCAACAUGAAAAGGUGACUGAAAGUGUUACCUAUCUGGACCAGCUGGAGACUGAUGUUUAGUUUUUACCCUGUUUUGGU